UACGGGGGGUGCAAGCGUUGCUCGGAAUCACUGGGCGUAAAGCGUCCGCAGGUGGGCGCGCAAGUCGGACGUGAAAUCCCGGGGCUCAACCCCGGAACUGCGUUCGAAACUGCGGGUCUCGAGUACGGGAGAGGGAAGUGGAAUUCCUGGUGUAGAAGUGAAAUUCGUAGAUAUCAGGAGGAACACCGGUGGCGAAAGCGGCUUCCUGGCCCGAUACUGACACUCAUGGACGAGAGCGUGGGGAGCAAACAGG
rnacentral:rRNA from 1 species